rnacentral:rRNA from 1 species
AUUGAACGCUGGCGGCAGGCCUAACACAUGCGAGUCGAACGGUAACAGGAAGAAGCUUGCUUCUUUGCUGACGAGUGGCGGACGGGUGAGUAAUGUCUGGGAAACUGCCUGAUGGAGGGGGAUAACUACUGGAAACGGUAGCUAAUGCCGCAUAACGUCGCAAGACCAAAGAGGGGGACCUUCGGGCCUCUUGCCAUCGGAUGUGCCCAGAUGGGAUUAGCUAGUAGGUGGGGUAACGGCUCACCUAGGCGACGAUCCCUAGCUGGUCUGAGAGGAUGACCAGCCACACUGGAACUGAGACACGGUCCAGACUCCUACGGGAGGCAGCAGUGGGGAAUAUUGCACAAUGGGCGCAAGCCUGAUGCAGCCAUGCCGCGUGUAUGAAGAAGGCCUUCGGGUUGUAAAGUACUUUCAGCGGGGAGGAAGGGAGUAAAGUUAAUACCCUUGCUCAUUGACGUUACCCGCAGAAGAAGCACCGGCUAACUCCGUG